GGACUGCCAUGUUGCGUUUGGGUCUCCAAUAAUUUUGGACACAUCCUCGAAUUUCAAUUUUGGCAGCUAUGACCAAGAUAAAGGGCAGACCUUUCUGGGGUGAGCUGUUGUGAUAUGACCGCCUGCGUUUCUGAGGUUAGUAACUGUCCGAAAAGCAGCACCGGAACGUUUCUUGGACCUAAAACCGCUCAGCUGACUCUGAUUUAACUACAUAAAACCACGCCCAGCUGGCUAAACUUCGCCACGUGCAAAUCGCACUCAUCCAGUUUAAAUGACCAUCCAGUUCAGUUAAUGUGCUCAUGAAGCCAAACCAACAUGUUCAAAUGGACAUCCAACCAGAGGAUUUGCCUUGUUCAGCAAUUUAUCCAUGUUUGAAAUAAUACUAUGCUGAUUCGUUGGAGUAAUCAACUUGUGGUUAUGCAGAUGUCUUAUGCAAAAGUUGGCAAUACAGGUAGGCUAGAGCAGGGUUUCUCAACCUGCAGGCCGUGGGCCACCAGUGAGCUGUGAAGGUCUGUGGGCUUGUACUCUGGGAAUGCAGUAUUUCAUAGUGGGCAAGUAACAUCACUAUAAGUCAGUGGGAAAAAGUCAUGUAAUUAUUAAAAUUUUAAAAAUCAAA
ensembl:lncRNA